rnacentral:rRNA from 1 species
UACGGGAGGCAGCAGUGGGGAAUAUUGCACAAUGGGCGCAAGCCUGAUGCAGCCAUGCCGCGUGUAUGAAGAAGGCCUUCGGGUUGUAAAGUACUUUUCAGCGGGGAGGAAGGCGAUGUGGUUAAUAACCGCAUCGAUUGACGUUACCCGCAGAAGAAGCACCGGCUAACUCCGUGCCAGCAGCCGCGGUAAUACGGAGGGUGCAAGCGUUAAUCGGAAUUACUGGGCGUAAAGCGCACGCAGGCGGUCUGUCAAGUCGGAUGUGAAAUCCCCGGGCUUAACCUGGGAACUGCAUUCGAACUGGCAGGCUAGAGUCUUGUAGAGGGGGUAGAAUUCCAGGUGUAGCGGUGAAAUGCGUAGAGAUCUGGAGGAUACCGGUGGCGAAGGCGGCCCCUGGACAAAGCUGACGCUCAGGUGCGAAAGCGUGGGGAGCAAACAGGAUUAGGAUAACC